AACGAACGCUGGCGGCGCGCCUAAUACAUGCAAGUCGAGCGAGAAGACGUAGCAAUACGUUUGUAAAGCGGCGAACGGGUGAGGAAUACAUGGGUAACCUACCCUCGAGUGGGGAAUAACUAGCCGAAAGGUUAGCUAAUACCGCGUACGCUCCUUGGACUUCGGUUCAGGGAGGAAAGCGAUACCGUGGGUAUCGCGCUCUUGGAUGGGCUCAUGUCCUAUCAGCUUGUUGGUGAGGAACGGCUCACCAAGGCUUCGACGGGUAGCUGGUCUGAGAGGACGAUCAGCCACACUGGCACUGCGACACGGGCCAGACUCCUACGGGAGGCAGCAGUAAGGAUAUUGCGCAAUGGGCGAAAGCCUGACGCAGCGACGCCGCGUGGGGGAUGAAGGUCUUCGGAUUGUAAACCCCUUUCGGGAGGGAAGAUGGAACGAGCAAUCGUUCGGACGUACCUCCAGAAGCAGCCACGGCUAACUUCGUGCCAGCAGCCGCGGU
rnacentral:rRNA from 1 species